UGGCUAAGAUGGUAAAGAAUCUGCCUGCAAUGCAGAAGACCCAGGUUUGAUCCCUGG
rnacentral:tRNA from 1 species